CGCGUGUGUGAAGAAGAAGCACCCAAACAAAAAAAUUAACAAUGGAAACAACGAGGUUCUGAUGGAUUUCUAUGGCCGUAUAAGGGGAUUUUAAAUAAGGGAUCAUGUUGGCUGCCUUGGGCCUAUAUAAAAAACUGAUGGCCGAUUCUGAAAGAUGGCGGAUCGAAGCAGAAUGAAAUGGUUUUGUUCCAGAUUGGCUGGUGGACUAGGCAUUAAGGUGGUUCCGGAAAUUUAAGCCAAUAAAAUUCAAUUGGACCUGCGAUUUGGCCUUGGUUUGCUGCUUCCGUUCAGAAAAGGACUUAAUCGUAGGAAUUUGGUAGAAAUGUUAGAAAUUCAGAUGGGACCUGGACCGGAAGACUGAAGGCGGUAUAUGGUCCCAAUUAUUAUUCUAAAAACGUUUUAAUCAUCCAAUUUUGGUUCCUGAAGAACUAGCCAACUGUAAGAUCGAGAGGAAAAUUUCUCCAGUCAACGGAAAUUUAACCGCUUUCGGCAUAGCUCUGAGCAGUACAUAUAUCGUUAGGUGGUCUAGGACGAUGAAUAUGUAAGCGUUUCCGUUUCUUGACCGUGGAUAAGGCCCCAAAAAGUCUAUAAAGAUCUUCUGGAAUGGUCGUUCCGUUGUAGAUUCAGCUCCCAUUGGUGGUCUUAGGAUCGAAUUCGAGGGUUUUGUCUCGCGACAGGUUUGGCAAUUGGCCACAAAUGAUCGGACCUGAACAUUCUGGUUGGGCCAGUAGAAAUAUUCCCUUAACCUUCGGAGCGUUUUACUAAAACCUCCAUGAGCGGCUUGAGGCGGAUUGUGGCACUUCACAAUUACUUCUUGAGUAAGCUCUAGUGGAACCCAUAACUUCCAGGCAAAAUCUUCGUUUAGCGGCACCCCGUCAUAUGGGAGUACCCGCUUAUAAACCAGGUCAUCCACGACCUUCAAAUCAGGCAGGCUUUCAGCAUUUUCCUUGAUUUUGGCGAUUAAGUCCAGAUACUUCCUCCAUGUCAUACCUCGACAAUGUGUCGGGAACGAUAUUUUUGGAUCCGGGCCGGUGUUCGAUGGUAAAGGUAAAGGCCUGUAGAUGUAAGCUCCAUCGGGCUAGUCUGCCACUGAGGUCUUUGUGGGACAUAAGCCAUUUUAGGCUGCUAAGGUCCGUGAUGACUGUAAAUGGCAAAAGUUCUAUAUAAGGCCGGAAUUUCUUAAUGGCCAUCACUACGGCCAAGCACUCUCUCUCGGUAACCGAGUAGUUCUUCUGUGCACUGGUCAAUUUGUGAGAGAAGAAGGCUACUGGAUGUUCGCCGUCGUUUUCGUCCUUCUGGAACAGAACUGCUCCCAAACCUAUGUCUGAUGCAUCGCAUUGGACAUAAAAGUGCCUGUGGAAAUCGGGAUGCAUAAGCACUGGUGCUGUUGUGAGGGCGGACUUUAGCUUGUCGAAGGCUUCCUUAGCUUCGUCUGGAAAGUUGAAACCUUUUCCUUUCUUAAGGGUGUUAAAAAUAGGUGUUGAUAUGGUAGCGUAGUCGGGGAUGAAGCGCCUAUACCAACCCGUAGCUCCCAUGAAGCUUCGGACCUGUUUGGCGGUUUUCGGGUACUUCAACUCCUUGAAGCAAAAUUUCGACUUCCCUACGUUGAUGGUCAGACCCGCCGAAUCCAGGCAAUGCGCUACCCGAUCCAGCAACUCCAGGUGAGUCUCAAAGUCUGGAGAUACGAUCAAAAGGUCAUCUAGAUAGACGAAAACUCUAUCACGAAGUGCUGAAGGGAUCACUUUGUCCAUCAGACGACAUAACCUUUGGGCUGCGUUACACAACCCGAAAGGCAUGACCGUAAAAUGGUAAAGUGGUCGCCCCGGCACCGUGAAUGCAGUCUUCUCCCUACUAGAUGCAUCUAACGGUAUCUGCCAGAACGCGUCUUUGAGAUCCACGCUGGAUAUGAAGAACGUAUCCCCUAACCGACUGAGCAGACCUUCGAUGCGCGGCAGCGGAUACACGUCCUUGACCGUGAGGGCAUUUAGCUUACGAGCGUACAGACACAAUCGGUUCUUCUCGCCCCUACGGACGAGAGUAACCGGAUGGCUCCAAGGACUCUCGCUCUGCUCUAUGACCCCAAGCUCAAGCAUCCUAUCCAGCUCUGGAUACAUUAACUUCUGCACAGCCGGUGAGACGGAAUAAUGCCUGUCCUUCACUGGGAUCGCGUCGCGGGUAUCGAUUGUAUGGGUUUCGAGGGAAGUCUGACCGAGUACCUUCUUUGAGAAACACGGGAAUUUUGCUACCACCACAUCUAAUGCCGCCUUUUGCCCAGGAGUAAGAAUAUGGGUUUUGGUUACAUCCUUCGUCUCCUCAGACUCCGGACACAAAUUAACCCCGUUAGUAGUAAUGCUACAUAUACUAGGAAACAGACCGAAACUUUUCAUAAAAUCUACCCCUAAAAAUAGAGGCCUAUUUAAAGACAAAAAUUUAAAAACUUGAAGACCGGAUUCCUCCACUAACUCCAUGCAGCCCUUACCUAGGCAAGACACCGUGGCUCCACUGUCUAACAGCCCAUCAAUCUCACAACCAUUUAUAUUUUUCUUUAGAUAAAGUCUAGCAUCCUUGCCCUCAUACAAACUCGUAGACAAAAUUUCAUUCUUGAUCUUCUUUCUAAUUUUAUACCUAAGUCUAGCUUUCUGAAUUCUAUUCGAUACUUGACCAAAAAUCCUAGAUUUUGCUUCAGCGUAUUCCCGAAUUCUUUGAUGAAGCGGUUUAAUUAUAUGAACUUUAGGUUGUUCAUCGGCAGGCAUUAUGCGUACAGUAUUAACUAGAAUUUUAGUCGGUCUAAAGUGUUCGAUACCAGGGUCAACCGGGAUUAAGCUAGGGUUGAACGAGUCUCCCCCGUUUGGGACUCGCUCCCCUUCAGGUUUCCCUGACAUUUAGGGCACUUAGGAGUGACUACGUCAUCCCUACCACAUCUAAAACAAAAUAUGCGUCUAUUAGGUGAAGGACAAUCCACGAAACUAUGGCCUGGCUGCUUACAAUUCCAGCAAAUAUACCGGCUACUAGUGGCUAAGGCGUCGAUUUCGAGGAUUGGUAUAGGCACUUCAUAUCCGAAGUGGAGUUCAUGGACUCGAGCUGGGCCGGGUUGUCUAGACUGGAAAGUCUGCCUCUGACUGGUGAUUAAAUUUUCAGCUCUUUUCGCCUGUUGACAGAACUCAUUGAGACUAGAAGUGGUCACGGAAAAUAGUAGAUGUGACAAUGACGGCUUUAGAUUACUUUUCAUAAUCUCCACUAGGUCUCGUUCAGAAUAGGGGUUUCGCUGUUGAUUUCUUAGCUUCAUCACACCAUUGUAAAAACUUUCAAAGCUUUCCAUCGGCAUCUGGCGACGAUCCAUAAUUUGUUUUUGUAACUGGAACUCGUUCUCAAAUCUUCGGAACUGGGUAAGGAAUGCUCCCAUCAACUCAUCCCAGGACUGUAUUGGCCUUAACUUACGUAGGUUCCAAUACCAGUCCAGCGCCUGGCCUUCUAGCAGAUGAUUAAAACCUCGUAGGACGUCAUUGAACGCGCAGUUGUAGUCCUGUCUUAGAACGUCUACUCGAAAAAUGAAAUCUUCAGCACUCAUGGACUUCGAGGUUCCGUCGAACUUAAUGCCCCAUUUGGACAAAUCCACCUUUCUUUGAACGGCGAAUGCGCCGUCAGUAGGCCAACUUGGAGCUUGUGAGGAUUGAAUUGGUGCUGGAAAAACUGGAUUUGCAUUUGGUGGUACAUAAUGCGGCUGUGCGUUAGCUGCUUGUCCUUGGGUUGGUUGAAAAUCAUUUUGCAACUGGUAAUUACUAGCAGGUGGUUGCUGCUCUACAGGCUGAUGGUUAAACACUGCAUUUGGCUGUCGAACAGAUGUUCGCGGCUCCGUUGGUUGAAGGACCGAUAUCGGCGGAUUAGCUGGAGCAGCAGCAUUGCCGAAUUCCUGUUGCAAUUCGGUUCGCAACUGCCGUAUUUGUCGUUGCAAUUCCUCCCGCACAAAAGUAAACAUAUCGCCUCCUGUGGUGACGAUGUUAACAGGUUGAGGAGCUGUCGGCGGGACAUUUGCUCGGAACUCUUGUUGCACAUUCCUGGCGGUGAUACUGCUGUAGUCAGGCGAUGUAAUCGUGCUGUUGGAGAUGGCAGACUCAUUUAAAAACCCAGAACGUUCAUGGGCCAUAGACAUGAAUUGUUGGACCGCCGGCAUGACGGUCGAUGCAGAGGUAGUAGUUGUCGUAGCUGUGUUGGCAAUCGUAUACGUCGGAUGCGCCGUGGGAACUACAGUUCCUGCAGUCGUGCGUGUAAUGUUCUCCAUAUUGGAAAUAUUAUUAUGCUCAGUUUGUACACGAGUCCUAGCCGAGCGAGUUAAGACCAUUCCUAAUGAAUAGAAAUCUAGUUGGCGGAAUGACCCCACAAUAAAAUCUCAACCAAAAUAACAAAAUAUAAUAAAAUAUCAAAUUGAAGAUUUGUAUAUAUAACAGACCGCUAGUAAAAAAAACUAUUUAUCUCUAUGAUAAAUAUUAGCAAAAUACUAGAAGAAAUUCCUCCUCUUUCCCAAAGGAAAACUAAAAAAAAUCAAUUCUAAAGAAAGGAAGUAAAGAUUCAAAAACUAAAUCCAAAACGUUCGUAACGACAAAGCUAAAACGUUCUACAAAAAAACUCAAAAUCCAAAUCCAAAAGAACCAAAGAUAAAUCUUGAAAUCUCAAAUUAAAUAAAAUCUUACUAUCGGCGGUGUAUUUCAGGAAAGUAAAGUUUUCAGGAGAUGCAGACAUUAAAUGAAAUUUAAAUGGGCAGAAAAAACAUGGCAUUAGUUUCCAACAGCUCCAGAUUAGAGUGCAGCUAGAAUUUUGGUUGGCUAUCCUAUAACUCCUAGGACUACUCUAACCACUUUACUGAGGACCAAAACAUACAUUUUUUUUUCAAACAAAUACCAUUAGGAUUAUUGUUAAAAAGGGGGCUGGCCUUAGCUAUUCUUUCUUCACAACUUGAGCAUUCUCAGAUUUGUUAUGGAAAGCUAUUCCGAGAGCCUCAAAUUGUUUGGAAAGGAUAGGCUGAAGAAUCUGUAAUUCUGCAUGACCAUAUUGUUCACACCACACGUCGCAACGCGAACUAGACUAAAAUGUCCUGUUGUCCGGGACUUACGUAGGUGUGUACAAUAUUGACCAUGAGCAAUUAUAGCUUCCCAUCUAUUGAAAUGGAGAGAAGUAAAAACUAAAUUUACUAUUUCGUCCGACGACGUCGCAACAAUUAGGGACUCUAGGUAUGACCUAACAGGACUUACGUUGACAUGACUAAAUAGGAUUAGAAAACUGACUAAUGAUCAGGCUAUGGACCUACUCGGGCCCCACGUUGGGCGCCAUUUAUGUAGUGUAGUGGUUGUGCAAAACAAAAGAAACUAGUGUUGCCAGGGUGGUAGCAGCGCUGGUAUGCUCGCGUUCGCCGGGCUUGGAGCUCGCCGUAUGGGGGUGGUUCUUGCUACCACUCUAGACAACUACACACACACAUAAAAACCAUACCAACUAAAAGAAAUAAACGAAAUAAAAUAUAAAGGGGCACCGAGUAGGUUUCUGUCUGUCUCCCUGAUGAAACGUACCUACGACCUAUAACGGCUGGCAGAUGUUGUGCCAGGAUAAACCCUCCCACUCGGGAUUGGAUAAUACCGCCAUGACAUCCUAAUAUUAGGGAUGUCCCAAAAUUUACCCUGCAAACUUUCCUUUCCCUACUUACCGCCGCUUAUGUUGUUUAACCGAUCAUUUUAAAUGAUUAAAACUUUUUAAAAUUUCAUCUAAACAUUAUA